ensembl:lncRNA PVT1 Pvt1 oncogene
GGAUGUUGGCGGUCCCUGUGACCUGUGGAGACACGGCCAGAUCUGCCCUCCAGAUUUAUUAGGAGAAAAACCUUCCCGGAAGCUGCAGAAGGACAAAUACAGAAUCCGUGUCUGGGAGAAACCUCGUGGCCUGGUCUCCAUUAUUUGAGAUGAGUUACAUCUUGGAGAGCUUUACAGAAAUUCCAUGCUGCCUUCAGCUUCCUUUGCCGCUCUGCAUCAUGUUGGCCUGAUCUUUUGGCCAGAAGGAGAUUAAAAAGAUGCCCCUCAAGAUGGCUGUGCCUGUCAGCUGCAUGGAGCUUCGUUCAAGUAUUUUCUGAGCCUGAUGGAUUUACAGUGAUCUUCAGUGGUCUGGGGAAUAACGCUGGUGGAACCAUGCACUGGAAUGACACACGCCCGGCACAUUUCAGGAUACUAAAAGUGGUUUUAAGGGAGGCUGUGGCUGAAUGCCUCAUGGAUUCUUACAGCUUGGAUGUCCAUGGGGGACGAAGGACUGCAGCUGGCUGAGAGGGUUGAGAUCUCUGUUUACUUAGAUCUCUGCCAACUUCCUUUGGGUCUCCCUAUGGAAUGUAAGACCCCGACUCUUCCUGGUGAAGCAUCUGAUGCACGUUCCAUCCGGCGCUCAGCUGGGCUUGAGCUGACCAUACUCCCUGGAGCCUUCUCCCGAGGUGCGCGGGUGACCUUGGCACAUACAGCCAUCAUGAUGGUACUUUAAGUGGAGGCUGAAUCAUCUCCCCUUUGAGCUGCUUGGCACGUGGCUCCCUUGGUGUUCCCCUUUUACUGCCAGGACACUGAGAUUUGGAGAGAAUCCUGUUACACCUGGGAUUUAGGCACUUUCAAUCUGAAAAAAUACAUAUCCUUUCAGCACUCUGGACGGACUUGAGAACUGUCCUUACGUGACCUAAAGCUGGAGUAUUUUGAGAUUGGAGAAUUAAGAGCCAGUCUUGGUGCUCUGUGUUCACCUGGUUCAUCUGAGGAGCUGCAUCUACCCUGCCCAUGCCAUAGAUCCUGCCCUGUUUGCUUCUCCUGUUGCUGCUAGUGGACAUGAGAAGGACAGAAUAACGGGCUCCCAGAUUCACAAGCCCCACCAAGAGGAUCACCCCAGGAACGCUUGGAGGCUGAGGAGUUCACUGAGGCUACUGCAUCUUGAGACUCAGGAUGAAGACCCAGCUUGGGGCUGUCAAAGGUUUUUUGCAUGUCUGACACCCAUGACUCCACCUGGACCUUAUGGCUCCACCCAGAAGCAAUUCAGCCCAACAGGAGGACAGCUUCAACCCAUUACGAUUUCAUCUCUGCCCCAACCACUCAGCAGCAAGCACCUGUUACCUGUCCACCCCCACCCCUUCCCCCAAACUGCCUUUGAAAAAUCCCUAACCUAUGAGCUUUGAAUAAGAUGAGUACGAACUUCAUCGCCCACGUGGCGUGGCCGGCCUCGUGUCUAUUAAAUUCUUUUUCUACUACAA